GACAGAGGUGCCAAGCGUUAGGCGGAAUCACUGGGCUUAAAGCGUGUGUAGGCGGAAUGGUAAGUACCUUGUGAAAUCCCACGGCUCAACCGUGGAACUGCUUGGUAUACUGCUUUUCUUGAGCCACUUAGGGGCAACCGGAACAAACGGUGGAGCGGUGAAAUGCGUAGAUAUCGUUUGGAACGCCAAUGGUGAAAACAGGUUGCUGGGAGUGCGCUGACGCUGAGACACGAAAGCCAGGGGAGCAAACGGG
rnacentral:rRNA from 1 species